AUUGAACGCUGGCGGCAGGCCUAACACAUGCAAGUCGAGCGGAUGAAGGGAGCUUGCUCCUGGAUUCAGCGGCGGACGGGUGAGUAAUGCCUAGGAAUCUGCCUGGUAGUGGGGGAUAACGUCCGGAAACGGGCGCUAAUACCGCAUACGUCCUGAGGGAGAACGUGGGGGAUCUUCGGACCUCACGCUAUCAGAUGAGACUAGGUCGGAUUAGCUAGUUGGUGGGGUAAAGGCCUACCAAGGCGACGAUCCGGAACUGGUCUGAGAGGAUGAUCAGUCACACUGGAACUGAGACACGGUCCAGACUCCUACGGGAGGCAGCAGUGGGGAAUAUUGGACAAUGGGCGAAAGCCUGAUCCAGCCAUGCCGCGUGUGUGAAGAAGGUCUUCGGAUUGUAAAGCACUUUAAGUUGGGAGGAAGGGCAGUAAGUUAAUACCGUGCUGUUUUGACGUUACCAACAGAAUAAGCACCGGCUAACUUCGUG
rnacentral:rRNA from 1 species